UGGGCUUGUUUCAGUCCUAUUUUACUGGUAAACAGUGUUGGGUCAUUUAUCACUGCUAGUGCUAGAUUAUACUUGCAGACUUACUGUGUUCAGACAGGGGCGUCCUGUUUUGGUUGGAAUACAUGUUUCAGUAUCCAUUUCAAACUUUGUUAACAUGGUUAUAUGUGUGGAGGCAUGUUGUUUCAUGUGCUUUUGUGGAAGUUUGAAUGCUAUUUGAACCAAAUGGCGUAUCGUUGAUCCAAAUUACUUGUUUAUUGGAUUCAACUAAAUCAUAUUUACACCGAAUAAGUUUAUGCACGGGGAGACUAGUAUUUGGUCAACGUAAUGUUUUGAGUAUGCAGAGGUCAGCAGAUUUAUAACUAUGAUAUCUCAUCUUAAUAUUCCCCACAGUGUUCUAAAUGCACUUUUUGGCUUCCAAUUCAUUCAGGUUAUGGUGGAGAGUUUGGUUAAUCAUGCUGCUUUGAGACAAGGAACAGGAAGAGUCUUUUUGCUGUAGGAAGAAAUGGCUUGAAGGUCGGACCUCAACAAAAACAGAAAGCCUGUGGAGUCCCACUAUUCGGGUUGUCUUUAAAUGCAGGCUGUACUAAUAUUAUUUUGCAUUUGGGGCAUCCAUCAUAAAAAAUCAUAAUUUCCUCAGUUUGUGAUGCAAAAUCAAAUAAAACUAUUAUAUGGCAAAGAAUGUGUGAGACAGUGACACAGUAAUGGUUCCUUUGUUGGCUUUUGCAAACUCCUUAAUAAACUGCUUCCUUGGCCUCCAUGGCUGGCAAUCAAGUUGAUGCGUUUAGGAAUAUCCUUGUGAUGUGACAAAAAAAUUAUGUUGCUUGCACUGCGGGUGGAGCAAAACAUUGAAUUUGUGGGCAAUAAGAGAGACGAGGUGCCUUUUUCACCAAAAGAUCAACAGUCUGUAGAAUCAUUUCUCCAGGCUUUGGAUAGAGACUACAUGAUGCCGUUGGUGUAUAAUGUGUACGACCAUUCAGCUAACGUCAAGCCUAUUUUACUUAACAAUUAUUGAGGUAAUAGGGAGAGGGCCGGGGGCAUAGAGAGGAGAGAUUUAAUUGUGAGUUGUGUUAUUCUACCCUAUUGUGCAUUUAUUUAUAGUAGUAGGGAAUGUUAAUUCUUUAUCC